AAGCAGCAGCAUCCCGGAAGCUACCGCGAGCCGCCACUAGCCGGGACCCCGGGCUCGCCGGCGGGGGCAUAGGGCUCCGAAGCCCGCGGGCUGCAAAUGUUUCAACGCCCGCCCUAUCAUCUCUGUCCCAGAGGCUAGUGAAGAUUAGAAGGCGAAAAAAAACGCACUCGUGAUGAAAUGUGCUGAGCUCAUGCAGUCCUCCCACACUGAAAGAGCCCAGCAGAAUGCGUGGAGGCAGACAAUGUCAGAGUGCAGAAAAGCACAAAAUGCAUGUGAGGACAGGAGGGACACGUGAGAGGACAAGUGGCGGGAGCAAGAGAAGAGGUGGCAUCAGCGUGAUGAGAAGAGGCAGAAAGCAAUGCUAAGGCUACUGGAGGAUCAAACUGAUAUGCUUCGGCGUAUGGUUGAGGUGCAGGAAAGGCAGCAGGAGCACAGCAGGAGCACCGCCACUGCAGCCCCUGUGUAACCAACCUCCCACUUCCCCAAGUUCCAUAGCCUUUCAACCAGACGCCCAAGAACGUGGUGGGGAGGGGCGUCCAGGCACCCAACCACUCCAACCCAGAGGACUACCCAAGCAACAGAAAGCUGGCAUUCAAUAAGUUUUGAAGUUGAGUGUGGCCUUGUCCUUCCCUCCUCCCCCACCACCCCACCCAGUGCUUCCCUCCUCCUCCACCCCUCACACAAAUGGGGGGAUAACUUGGUAGCUAUCCCCCCAUUUGUGUGACAAAUUAAUAAAGAAUGAAUUUAAAACGA